AUUGAACGCUGGCGGCAUGCUUUACACAUGCAAGUCGAACGGCAGCACGGGCUUCGGCCUGGUGGCGAGUGGCGAACGGGUGAGUAAUAUAUCGGAACGUACCCAGAAGUGGGGGAUAACGUAGCGAAAGUUACGCUAAUACCGCAUACGAUCUAUGGAUGAAAGCAGGGGACCGCAAGGCCUUGUGCUCCUGGAGCGGCCGAUAUCUGAUUAGCUAGUUGGUGAGGUAAAGGCUCACCAAGGCGACGAUCAGUAGCUGGUCUGAGAGGACGACCAGCCACACUGGAACUGAGACACGGUCCAGUCUCCUACGGGAGGCAGCAGUGGGGAAUUUUGGACAAUGGGCGCAAGCCUGAUCCAGCAAUGCCGCGUGAGUGAAGAAGGCCUUCGGGUUGUAAAGCUCUUUUGUCAGGGAAGAAACGGUAGAGGCUAAUAUCCUGUGCUAAUGACGGUACCUGAAGAAUAAGCACCGGCUAACUACGUG
rnacentral:rRNA from 1 species